rnacentral:rRNA from 1 species
AACGAACGCUGGCGGCAUGCCUAACACAUGCAAGUCGAACGAGACCUUCGGGUCUAGUGGCGCACGGGUGCGUAACGCGUGGGAACCUGCCCUUAGGUUCGGAAUACCUCCCCGACAGGGGUGCUAAUACCGGAUAAUGUCUUCGGCCCAAAGAUUUAUCGCCUUUGGAUGGGCCCGCGUUGGAUUAGCUAGUUGGUAGGGUAAAAGCCUACCAAGGCGACGAUCCAUAGCUGGUCUGAGAGGCUGCUCAGCCACACUGGGACUGAGACACGGCCCAGACUCCUACGGGAGGGAGCAGUGGGGAAUGGUGGACAGUGGGGGAAAGCCUGAUCCAGCAAUGCCGCGUGAGUGAUGAAGGUCUUAGGGUUGUAAAGCGCUUGUACCCGGGAUGAUAAUGACAGUACCGAGAGAAUAAGCUCCGGCUAACUCCGUG